rnacentral:lncRNA from 1 species
UCUUCUCCUCCACCACCUUAUGAGUACAAGUCACCACCACCACCGUCUCCUUCACCUCCACCACCUUAUGUGUACAAGUCACCACCACCUCCACCUUAUGAACACAAGGCUCCAUCUUAUGAAUACAAGUCACCACCUCCACCAUCACCCUCACCUCCACCACCAUAUGUGCACAAGUCACCACCAUAUGUAUACAAGUCACCACCUCCUCCAUCACCAUCACCACCACCACCAUAUGUAUACAAGUCACCACCUCCACCUCCUUAUGUGUACAAGUCUCCACCACCUCCACCAUAUGUGCACAAGUCACCACCAUAUGUAUACAAGUCACCACCUCCUCCAUCUCCAUCACCACCACCACCAUAUGUGUACAAGUCACCACCUCCACCACCUUAUGUGUACAAGUCUCCACCACCUCCACCAUAUGUGCACAAGGACCCACCAUAUGUCUACAAGUCACCACCUCCUCCAUCCCCAUCACCACCCCCUCCAUAUGUGUACAAGUCACCACCUCCACCUCCCUAUGUGUACAAGUCUCCACCACCUCCACCAUACGUGCACAAGGAUCCACCAUAUGUGUACAAGUCACCUCCUCCUCCUUCCCCAUCACCACCACCUCCAUAUGUGUACAAGUCACCACCUCCACCACCUUACGUGUACAAGUCACCACCUCCCCCACCUUAUGAACACAAAUCACCACCAUACUAUUACAAGAGUCCUCCACCACCCUCCCCCUCACCUCCACCUCCUUACUACUACAAAUCUCCUCCACCACCCUCACCUUCCCCUCCCCCACCAUACUAUUANNN